rnacentral:rRNA from 1 species
AUUGAACGCUGGCGGUAUGCCUUACACAUGCAAGUCGAACGGUAGAGGGGCAACCCUUGAGAGUGGCGAACGGGUGAGUAAUACAUCGGAACGUGCCCAGUCGUGGGGGAUAACGUAGCGAAAGCUACGCUAAUACCGCAUACGACCUGAGGGUGAAAGCGGGGGAUCGCAAGACCUCGCGCGAUUGGAGCGGCCGAUGGCAGAUUAGGUAGUUGGUGGGGUAAAGGCCUACCAAGCCUGCGAUCUGUAGCUGGUCUGAGAGGACGACCAGCCACACUGAGACUGAGACACGGCCCAGACUCCUACGGGAGGCAGCAGUGGGGAAUUUUGGACAAUGGGCGAAAGCCUGAUCCAGCCGUACCGCGUGCGGGAAGAAGGCCUUCGGGUUGUAAACCGCUUUUGUCAGGGAAGAAAUCUUCUGGGUUAAUACCUCGGGAGGAUGACGGUACCUGAAGAAUAAGCACCGGCUAACUACGUGCCAGCAGCCGCAGUAA